rnacentral:rRNA from 1 species
CAGCCGCCACGGUAAUACGAAGGGGGCUAGCGUUGUUCGGAAUUACUGGGCGUAAAGCGCACGUAGGCGGAUAUUUAAGUCAGGGGUGAAAUCCCAGAGCACAACUCUGGAACUGCCUUUGAUACUGGGUAUCUUGAGUAUGGAAGAGGUGAGUGGAAUUCCGAGUGUAGAGGUGAAAUUCGUAGAUAUUCGGAGGAACACCAGUGGCGAAGGCGGCUCACUGGUCCAUUACUGACGCUGAGGUGCGAAAGCGUGGGGAGCAAACAGGAUUAGAUACCCCUGUAGUCCCUGUCUCUUAUAC